rnacentral:rRNA from 1 species
AUGGAGCAACGCCGCGUGUGUGAUGAAGGCUUUAGGGUCGUAAAGCACUGUUGUAUGGGAAGAAAUGCUAGAAUAGGGAAUGAUUCUAGUUUGACGGUACCAUACCAGAAAGGGACGGCUAAAUACGUGCCAGCAGCCGCGGUAAUACGUAUGUUCCGAGCGUUAUCCGGAUUUAUUGGGCGUAAAGCGAGCGCAGACGGUUGAUUAAGUCUGAUGUGAAAGCCCGGAGCUCAACUCCGGAAUGGCAUUGGAAACUGGUUAACUUGAGUGUUGUAGAGGUAAGUGGAACUCCAUGUGUAGCGGUGGAAUGCGUAGAUAUAUGGAAGAACACCAGUGGCGAAGGCGGCUUCCUGGACAACAACUGMCGUGAGCAGUUGUGUUUUGCUCAG